UUACGAUUAUAUCAGAUUUAAAACACCGAUUACCGUACGACCACCGAUGUUAAGCAACAUCGAGCUUGAUCAGUAUCUAGAUAGGUGACCACUAGGGAUAACCAGGUGCUGUCAU